AUGCGGCUGGGCGCACAGGGGCAGCCACAUCCGGACCCCGCGCAGCGUGGGAGGAGCUGGACCCGGCGCAGACGGCGACGCGGCGUGGGGGCAGAACAGGCGAAGACGGCGCGGGAUAGACUUGGAGCGGCGCCUUGGGCCAUCCGCGCGCGCCCGCGGACGAGAGCCGCAGGGAGCGACGCGCGCGUAGGGGCCGGAGACGGGGCGUGGAGGCCGGGGCUCCGGCUCGGGAUGAAGCCGGAGGCAGGGGCGCUGGCGACCCGGCGUCCGGGUUGCGGGAGCGGAGCAGCAGGCAGCGAGGCGCGGGACUCGGCGUCCGGGUUGUGGCGCCGCAGCGGAGCCGGCAAGCGCCGGGAGCAGCCGGCAACCCCGGGCCGGCAGGCGCGCGGGAGGCGGCCGGGCGCGAGGAAGGGCGGAGCCGGCAGGGGCGCGCAGGCGGCGACCGGCUACGACGCGCGGCGCGAGAGCCUGCGGCCGGGACCUGCUGAAGUGACGAUCCGGCGGCGCGCGCGCGGCCAGGGCCGCAGGCGCCGAGCAGGCGGCCACGAGCGGAGCCAGUGGGGGGCACCAGAGGAGCCGGACGCGGCCGGGCUCGAGGAAGCAGCCUGGAGCCGGCGCGGGGAAGCGGGCGGAGGCACGGCCGGUCGCGCGCACGGGGCGGGGCCGCGGAAGGGCGUCGAGCGUGCCGUGCGGGGUUCCCUCCAGACGGCGCACGGGAGGGCGAGGGGCGUUGGAGGGCGGCCGACUGCUCGGUUUGGCGUCCGGAGAUGGUGGCCGGGCCGCGCCCGACGACCUGCGGGGGAGGACCCGGGCCUGAACACGGCAGCGGGGCAGCACUCAACAGCGGCGGCAACUUGGCAAGCUGUAGAGCAGUGGUCAUGGCCGGAGGUGGCACAUGGGAGGAGGAGGUCGAGCUGGAGGCCGGCCCGAGCCGCGGGCGCAUGGGGAAAGGUGCUGCAGGGCGAGGUGCAGCCAUGGCAGGGCGUCGCGCGGGAGGAAGCGAGCGUGUGUGCAGACGGCAGCGGCAUAUGA
rnacentral:rRNA from 1 species